GACAACAAUCAGAAUCUGUCAAUCAAACAGCAGACACCUGGACACCUUUACUGUGUGACAGUUGAUUUCCUCCUUUAAGGAGUUUCUGUCAGAUGGUUUUUCUGCUCCACCAGUCACUCACUCACAUUGUUUCACUUCCCUUUAAGAAGCCUCUCAUGCACAUCAGCACAGAGACAAUCAUCAUACAGUUUGACCUGAAAUAUAUCAAACUACACUGGAAACACCAGGAGAAGAUUUGGCACAAUUCUUUUUAACUCUUUCAUAAAAACAAUGAAAAAAGUUCGAAUCAAAAACUUCACUUUUCAGAGGAAACAAGCAAAUACAUAAAAUAAUCUGACAACCAUCAAAUGUUCCUCAUGUUGAAUUCAGUCAUUGUUUCAAAAAGUUUUGAAGUUAUUUCAAACUACAUUGGACACAGAGUAUGACAGCAUGAAGCAAUGUCAGAUUUUACAUAAUGUGCAGCAUGACAACAUUUUUCAUUACUCAUCUAAAUGAGGUGAAUUUUAAUUCAUUAAAUGUCUUUUAAGUUUUAAAUGUAUAAAUACAUUUUAGAAAACAUAUUUGAAAAUAAUUAAAGUUUGAUCUUUUGUACAGUUGAACUUCAAUUUCAGCAUGACAGGAAUGUGUAAAGAAAAGUUCAGUAAAGCUGCUCUGAGUUCACCUCCAUGAUGAAGGAGGAGAAAUAAAAACAUUAAUACUCAAAGUCUGAUGAAUAAACACCAUCAUUUUAUCUGCUGCAAAUAUUAAGAAAGUGAAUUUACAACAUUACGUUACAUUAAUGUUUCUUUAGUAUUUGUGUAAAAACUUACUCCCAACAUCCAGUCUGGUUCCUCCACCAAAAGUCAACCACAGUGAUACAAAGUCAUUGAGCCGUCGUACAAAAACCUCUCACUGUAGAGAGACACGGCUCUCUGACUCUGUCACACUGAACUAAUUCUACAAGUUCUCAUUAUAAAACUUUGAAUCAAAUGAUUACAUUCAUUUAAGUUGCUUUUUAUUUUCAGUUGUUUUUAUCAAAUUUAGAAUAAGAAAUAUCAGUAUAACCCUGGUUAGAUUCAGAUCUGGAAAAACUAAACUGUUGAAUGUUGAAAAACAAAGUGGAAACAAGAAAAUUUGAACUUCCUCUAGUGUUUUCAACAUGUAAGAGAUGAAAAUGUAGAAAAUUGAUCUAUAGAAAAUACAAAACAUUAACUUACUUCCAACAUCCAGUCUGGUUCCUCCACCAAACGUGUACCACAGUGAUACAAAGUCAUUGAGCCGUCGUACAAAAACCUCUCACUGUAGAGAGACACGGCUCUCUGACUCUGAAACAAACAAACUCACCAGAAUCAGUCUGUUAGUAAUAUUUUUUCAGCAGGUGUGAGAAAUGACGACCACAGAACAAUUAUAAAAUUAACAAUAUUCUACAUUAAUUCAUUUUACAGAAAAAUCAAGCUUUUGCUUCAAUUUUAAUAUAUAUAAUAUAUAUGUAAGAAAACAAAAUUAGAACAAAAGUUACUCAGACAUGAAACCUAAACCACAUGGAAAUAAGUAUUAACACAUCCUGAUCAAUACUCUGAUCAGCUGAUUGAUCCAUUGAUAAACAGCAUGAUCAGAGUGAUCCAAGUCCCUGCUGGAGUCAGUCAGAGCAUUUCCAUAGAGAGCCACUUUGCAUCAGCAGCACCAUGCUCCAGUGCUCUGGGAGAGUUUAUAGUCCUGAGAGUUGAAGACUGGAUGACUGACAGCUGUCCUUCAUGACAACAGAAGACACAGAAAUCCUCCUCAUCAGAAACAUGACUUUGGUCUCCGUCCUCAUCUGGACUCUCCUCUGCUGCUGCUUCACAGAGUCCAGAGGACAGGUCACAGUGACUCAGCCUGGAGCAGUGAGCUCUGCUCUGGGAGGCUCCGUCACCAUCAGCUGUAGGACCAGUCAGGCUGUUUAUACAUGGAGCAGCUACCACUACUUAGCCUGGUACCAACAGAGAGAUGGAGAAAAACCUAAACUGCUUAUUUACGCUGCUACCACUCGAGCAUCAGGGAUUCCGGGUCGUUUUACAGGAAGUGGAUCAAACUCUGACUUCACUCUGACCAUCAGUGGAGUCCAGACUGAAGAUGCAGCAGUUUACUACUGUCAGAGUUAUCACUAUAUCAACAGUCAGUGGGUGUUCACACAGCGAAAAAGCGUCCCGUUAAGAGGCCAGUGUUGA